GUGAACGCUGGCGGUAGGCCUAACACAUGCAGGUCGAACGGCAGCACAGUAAGAGCUUGCUCUUACGGGUGGCGAGUGGCGGACGGGUGAGGAAUACAUCGGAAUCUACUUUUUCGUGGGGGAUAACGUAGGGAAACUUACGCUAAUACCGCAUACGACCUACGGGUGAAAGCAGGGGAUCUUCGGACCUUGCGCGAUUGAAUGAGCCGAUGUCGGAUUAGCUAGUUGGCGGGGUAAAGGCCCACCAAGGCGACGAUCCGUAGCUGGUCUGAGAGGAUGAUCAGCCACACUGGAACUGAGACACGGUCCAGACUCCUACGGGAGGCAGCAGUGGGGAAUACUGGACAAUGGGCGCAAGCCUGAUCCAGCCAUACCGCGUGGGUGAAGAAGGCCUUCGGGUUGUAAAGCCCUUUUGUUGGGAAAGAAAAGCAGCAGGUUAAUACCCCGCUGUUCUGACGGUACCCAAAGAAUAAGCACCGGCUAACUUCGUG
rnacentral:rRNA from 1 species